AUUGAACGCUGGCGGCAGGCUUAACACAUGCAAGUCGAGCGGGGUGAUGGUGCUUGCACUAUCACUUAGCGGCGGACGGGUGAGUAAUGCUUAGGAAUCUGCCUAUUAGUGGGGGACAACAUCUCGAAAGGGAUGCUAAUACCGCAUACGUCCUACGGGAGAAAGCAGGGGAUCACUUGUGACCUUGCGCUAAUAGAUGAGCCUAAGUCGGAUUAGUUAGUUGGUGGGGUAAAGGCCUACCAAGGCGACGAUCUGUAGCGGGUCUGAGAGGAUGAGCCGUCACAUUGGGACUGAAACACGGCCCAGACUCCUACGGGAGGCAGCAGUGGGGAAUAUUGGACAAUGGGGGGAACCCUGAUCCAGCCAUGCCGCGUGUGUGAAGAAGGCCUUAUGGUUGUAAAGCACUUUAAGCGAGGAGGAGGCUCUUUUGGUUAAUACCCAGAAUGAGUGGACGUUACUCGCAGAAUAAGCACCGGCUAACUCUGUGCCAGCAGCCGCGGUAAUAC
rnacentral:rRNA from 1 species